AGUGAACGCUGGCGGUAGGCCUAACACAUGCAAGUCGAACGGCAGCACAGUAAGAGCUUGCUCUUACGGGUGGCGAGUGGCGGACGGGUGAGGAAUACAUCGGAGUCUACUUUUUCGUGGGGGAUAACGUAGGGAAGCUUACGCUAAUACCGCAUACGACCUACGGGUGAAAGCAGGGGAUCUUCGGACCUUGCGCGAUUGAAUGAGCCGAUGUCGGAUUAGCUAGUUGGCGGGGUAAAGGCCCACCAAGGCGACGAUCCGUAGCUGGUCUGAGAGGAUGAUCAGCCACACUGGAACUGAGACACGGUCCAGACUCCAACGGGAGGCAGCAGUGGGGAAUAUUGGACAAUGGGCGCAAGCCUGAUCCAGCCAUACCGCGUGGGUGAAGAAGGCCUUCGGGUUGUAAAGCCCUUUUGUUGGGAAAGAAAAGCAGCAGGUUAAUACCCCGCUGUUCUGACGGUACCCAAAGAAUAAGCACCGGCUAACUUCGUG
rnacentral:rRNA from 1 species